rnacentral:rRNA from 1 species
AUAACGGCGUCGAGCGGCGGACGGGUGAGUAAUGCCUAGGAAAUUGCCCUGAUGUGGGGGAUAACCAUUGGAAACGAUGGCUAAUACCGCAUGAUGCCUACGGGCCAAAGAGGGGGACCUUCGGGCCUCUCGCGUCAGGAUAUGCCUAGGUGGGAUUAGCUAGUUGGUGAGGUAAGGGCUCACCAAGGCGACGAUCCCUAGCUGGUCUGAGAGGAUGAUCAGCCACACUGGAACUGAGACACGGUCCAGACUCCUACGGGAGGCAGCAGUGGGGAAUAUUGCACAAUGGGCGCAAGCCUGAUGCAGCCAUGCCGCGUGUGUGAAGAAGGCCUUCGGGUUGUAAAGCACUUUCAGUCGUGAGGAAGGUAGUGUAGUUAAUAGCUGCAUUAUUUGACGUUAGCGACAGAAGAAGCACCGGCUAACUCCGUGCCAGCAGCCGCG